CGUGUAGGCGGUUGGUCAAGUCUGGUGUGAAAGCCCGGGGCCGUCAGCUCCGGAAGUGCAUCGGAAACUAGCCAACUGGAGCGCGAUAGAGGAGGGUGGAAUUCCUGGUGUAGCGGUGAAAUGCGUAGAUAUCAGGAGGAACACCGGCGGCGAAGGCGGCCCUCUGGAUCGUUGCUGACGCUGAGACGCGAAAGCGUGGGGAGCAAACAGGAUUAGAUACCCUGGUAGUCCACGCUGUAAACUAUGGGUACUAGGUGUUCGGGGUGUUGACCCCCUGAGUGCCGCAGCUAACGCAUUAAGUACCCCGCCUGGGGACUACGGCCGCAAGGUUAAA
rnacentral:rRNA from 1 species